UGGGGAAUUUUGGACAAUGGGGGGAAACCCUGAUCCAGCCAUCCCGCGUGUGCGAUGAAGGCCUUCGGGUUGUAAAGCACUUUUGGCAGGAAAGAAACGUCGCGGGUUAAUACCCCGCGAAACUGACGGUACCUGCAGAAUAAGCACCGGCUAACUACGUGCCAGCAGCCGCGGUAAUACGUAGGGUGCAAGCGUUAAUCGGAAUUACUGGGCGUAAAGCGUGCGCAGGCGGUUCGGAAAGAAAGAUGUGAAAUCCCAGAGCUUAACUUUGGAACUGCAUUUUUAACUACCGGGCUAGAGUGUGUCAGAGGGAGGUGGAAUUCCGCGUGUAGCAGUGAAAUGCGUAGAUAUGCGGAGGAACACCGAUGGCGAAGGCAGCCUCCUGGGAUAACACUGACGCUCAUGCACGAAAGCGUGGGGAGCAAACAGGAUUAGAUACCCUGGUAGUCCACGCCCUAAACGAUGUCAACUAGCUGUUGGGGCCUUCGGGCCUUGGUAGCGCAGCUAACGCGUGAAGUUGACCGCCUGGGGAGUACGGUC
rnacentral:rRNA from 1 species